GACGAACGCUGGCGGCGUGCUUAACACAUGCAAGUCGAACGGAAAGGCCCGGCGUUUGUGGGGUGCUCGAGUGGCGAACGGGUGAGUAACACGUGAGUAAACUGUACUUGUCUUUGGGGUAACUUCAGGAAACUGGGGCUCAUAUCGGAUAGGAGCUCCUGCUGCAUGGUGGGGGUUGGAAAGAGUCGGCGGUUGGGGAUGGACUCGCGGCUUAUCAGCUUGUUGGUGGGGUAGUGGCUUACAAAGGUUUUGACGGGUAGCCGGCCUGAGAGGGUGAACGGCCACAAUGGGACUGAGAGACGGCCCAGACUGCUACGGGAGGCAGAGGUGGGGAGUAUUGCGCAACGAGCGGAAGCGUGAUGCGGCGGCGCCGCGUGCGGGAUGACGGCCUUCUGGUUAUAAACCGCUUUCGAAUGUGACGAGGCCUUCGUGACGGUAAUGGAUAAAGAAGCACCGGCUAACUACGUG
rnacentral:rRNA from 1 species